rnacentral:lncRNA from 1 species
AAUAACACACAUUUACUUAUCGAUUUUCUGCUAGUAUCACUACAUAUUUGUACCAUUAGCACAAUAUUAUCACAGUCAGUUGGCAUGUACAACAUGCCCACAUUUACUCUUUCACAAUAGUCAUCAUAAGCAUAUAUCACAUGUCACAGCAUCACAUCUUAGUUCUCAUUAUCAUUGUAAUACCCAAUUUAUGCCCGGCCCACAUACAUAAAAUAAUAAAAUAAAAUAAAAAAUAAAUAAAUGUCCAGUUUUGUUACAAUAAUAGAUCCGAUUAGUUUACCCAAACCCAUUAAGCCCCAAAUUAACCUGAAAUACAAACCCAACACCAGCCCAAGCCUAAAUCUCAACCCAAUACAAACCUAAC